CCAGAAGGUUUUUUUGUUUGUUUGUUUAACCUGGCCAAUUCUCUAGGAAGCAUCCAGGGAAACCCAAGCUUUAUUGGCCAUAAGCCAGACACUGUGUAGGCAUAGGGGUCUCUUUCUGUCAGUUGGCACCAAGCAAAGGGUGCUUCAGUCUGCAGUGUUGGUAUCAGCAGUGGCUAUCAGAACUCUACAACUCUCGGAAUAGCUUCUGCUACAGCUGAUCUGGCCAAGAAACCAGGCAAGUGGCCAAGGCCUGAAGAGGCAUGGCUGAAUUGAUCUAGAGUGGCAGAGCAAGUCACCUUGGAAGAUAACUUUUUUGUUCAGAGAAGAAUCACUGGAAUGGUCCUUUUAAGGCAUACCUGUUUAUAGCUGUGCUGAAGUAUUCAUCACCAAUGGGCCUGCUGCAUCUGCAGCCUUUGGAGCCUCUAUUUAGGUUGUCUCCAAUCUUGUAAAAAGAC
rnacentral:lncRNA from 1 species